GACGAACGCUGGCGGCGUGCUUAACACAUGCAAGUCGAGCGGAGCGGCGGACGGGUGAGUAACGCGUGAGUAACUGACCCCCUCUCUAGGCUAACAGUUGGAAACGGCUGCUAAUACCGGAUAGUGGGGGAUGACUCGCGUCCUAUCAGCUUGUUGGUGGGGUAGUGGCCUACAAAGGCGACGACGGGUAGACGGCCUGGGAGGGCGACCGGCCACAUUGGGCUGAGAUACGGCCCAAACUCCUACGUGAGGCAGCAGGGGGGAAGAUUGCAGAAUGGGGGAAACUAUGAGGCAGAAACGCCGGGGGCGGGAUGACGGGUUUCGGGUUGUAAACCGCUUUCAGCCAUGACGCGGUAGUGGCAGAAGAAGCACCGGCUAACUACGUGCCAGCAGCCGCGGUAAUAC
rnacentral:rRNA from 1 species